AUGGCGAUGCUUCGUGAUGUUUGGAUGCCAAGCAGCCAAUGCUAUUUCACAGGGCCACUUUGUCCGUCUUUUGAGUCGGAAAAUUUUGAGCUAAAGCCUGGUCUUAUUGCUUUGGUUCAACAACAUCAGUUUGGAGGGUUGCCUACUGAAGAUCCUUACGAGCACUUGCUCCGAGUCCUGGAGUAUUCAGAUACAGUAAAGUACCAUGGAGUUCCUCAAGAUGUUAUCAAGUGCAUGCUAUUCACAUUCUGUCUCCGAGAUGAUGCUCGUGCUUGGUAUCGAUCCUUGCCAUCAAGAUCACUUGGUUGGAACGAGAUAUCACGAGCUUUCUUGGAUAAAUAUUUCCCACUACACAAGCAGUCUGCAAUUCGAGAUGAGAUCUUCAAUUUCGUCCAGCGUGAAGGUGAGAGCUUGUAUGAUGCUUGGAAGAGAUACAAAACCUUAUUCAGGAGAUGUCCUAAUCAUGGGCUCGAGAGAUGGUUAGAGCUGUAG
rnacentral:rRNA from 1 species